GACGGAGGGCCCUAGCGUUGUUCGGAAUUAUUGGGCUUAAAGCGCGUGUAGGCGGCUCGGCAAGUGUCAUGUGAAAGCCCCCGGCUCAACCGGGGAACUGCUUGGCAAACUGCCGGGCUUGAGGCAGGUAGAGGCGACUGGAACCUUAGGUGGAGCGGUGAAAUGCGUAGAUAUCUAAGGGAACGCCAGUGGCGAAAGCGGGUCGCUGGGCCUGUUCUGACGCUGAGACGCGAAAGCGUAGGGAGCAAACGGGAUUAGAUACCCCAGUA
rnacentral:rRNA from 1 species